rnacentral:tRNA from 1 species
GAAAUAUGCCGUCUCAAAUAAAAGCCGCUAACUUUUAUAUUUAAUGGUUAAACUCCAUUUAUAUUUCU